rnacentral:rRNA from 1 species
UUAACACAUGCAAGUCGAGCGAUGAAGCACCUUCGGGUGUGAAUUAGCGGCGAACGGGUGAGGAACACGUGAAGAAUCUGCCUUCAACUCUGGGAUAACUCCGGGAAACCGGGGCUAAUACCGGAUAUGAGCCUUGAUCGCAUGAUCGGGGCUGGAAAGUUUUUCGGUUGAAGAUGACUUCGCGGCCUAUCAGCUUGUUGGUGAGGUAAUGGCUCACCAAGGCGACGACGGGUAGCCGGCCUGAGAGGGCGACCGGCCACACUGGGACUGAGACACGGCCCAGACUCCUACGGGAGGCAGCAGUGGGGAAUAUUGGGCAAUGGAGGAAACUCUGACCCAGCGACGCCGCGUGCGGGAUGAAGGCCUUCGGGUUGUAAACCGCUUUCAGCAGGGAAGAAGCGAAAGUGACGGUACCUGCAGAAGAAGCACCGGCUAACUAUGUGCCAGCAGCCGCGGUAAUACAUAGGGUGCAAGCGUUGUCCGGAAUUAUUGGGCGUAAAGAGCUCGUAGGUGGUUUGUCACGUCGGAUGUGAAACUCUGGGGCUUAACCCCAGACCUGCAUUCGAUACGGGCGAGCUUGAGUAUGGUAGGGGAGUCUGGAAUUCCUGGUGUAGCGGUGGAAUGCGCAGAUAUCAGGAGGAACACCAAUGGCGAAGGCAGGACUCUGGGCCAUUACUGACACUGAGGAGCGAAAGCGUGGGGAGCGAACAGGAUUAGAUACCCUGGUAGUCCACGCCGUAAACGGUGGGCACUAGUUGUGGGGACCUUCCACGGUCUCUGCGACGCAGCUAACGCAUUAAGUGCCCCGCCUGGGGAGUACGAUCGCAAGAUUAAAACUCAAAGGAAUUGACGG